rnacentral:rRNA from 1 species
CGUGGGUGGAGUGAGUGGCGAACGGGUGAGUAACACGUGAGUAACCUGCCCCUUCUUUGGGAUAACGCCCGGAAACGGGUGCUAAUACUGGAUAUUCACUGGCCUUCGCAUGGGGGUUGGUGGAAAGGUUUUUUCUGGUGGGGGAUGGGCUCGCGGCCUAUCAGCUUGUUGGUGGGGUGAUGGCCUACCAAGGCUUUGACGGGUAGCCGGCCUGAGAGGGUGACCGGUCACAUUGGGACUGAGAUACGGCCCAG